CACGUAGGAGGCGAGCGUUGUCCGGAAUCAUUGGGCGUAAAGAGCGCGCAGGCGGCUUGGCAAGUCGGGUGUGAAAUCCCCGGGCUCAACCUGGGAAUGGCAUUUGGGACUGCAAGGCUUGAGUGCGGCAGAGGAGACUGGAAUUCCUGGUGUAGCAGUGAAAUGCGUAGAUAUCAGGAGGAAUACCGAUGGCGAAGGCAGGUCUCUGGGCUGACACUGACGCUCAUGCACGAAAGCGUGGGGAGCAAACAGG
rnacentral:rRNA from 1 species